rnacentral:rRNA from 1 species
UACGUAGGGUGCGAGCGUUGUCCGGAAUUACUGGGCGUAAAGAGCUCGUAGGUGGUUUGUCGCGUUGUUCGUGAAAACCGGGGGCUUAACCCUCGGCGUGCGGGCGAUACGGGCAGACUGGAGUACUGCAGGGGAGACUGGAAUUCCUGGUGUAGCGGUGGAAUGCGCAGAUAUCAGGAGGAACACCGGUGGCGAAAGCGGCUUCCUGGACCAGAACUGACGAUCAGGCACGAAAGCGUGGGGAGCAAACAGG